rnacentral:rRNA from 1 species
UACGAGGGGGGCAAGCGUUGUUCGGAUUUAUUGGGCGUAAAGGGUGCGUAGGUGGCGGGGCAAGUUUGGUGUGAAAUCCCGGGGCUCAACCCCGGAACUGCACUGAAUACUGCCUUGCUAGAGCACUGGAGAGGGAACUGGAAUUUACGGUGUAGCAGUGAAAUGCGUAGAUAUCGUAAGGGAGACCAGUGGCGAAGGCGAGUUCCUGGACAGUUGCUGACACUGAGGCACGAAGGCUAGGGGAGCAAACGGG